CCUACGGGAGGCUGCAGUAGGGAAUCUUCCACAAUGGGCGAAAGCCUGAUGGAGCAACGCCGCGUGGGUGAAGAAGGUCUUCGGAUCGUAAAACACUGUUGUAAGAGAAGAAAGUGCGUGAGAGUAACUGUUCACGUUUCGACGGUAUCUAACCAGAAAGCCACGGCUAACUACGUGCCAGCAGCCGCGGUAAUACGUAGGUGGCAAGCGUUAUCCGGAUUUAUUGGGCGUAAAGGGAACGCAGGCGGUCUUUUAAGUCUGAUGUGAAAGCCUUCGGCUUAACCGGAGUAGUGCAUUGGAAUCUGGGAGACUUGAGUGCAGAAGAGGAGAGUGGAACUCCAUGUGUAGCGGUGAAAUGCGUAGAUAUAUGGAAGAACACCAGUGGCGAAAGCGGCUCUCUGGUCUGUAACUGACGCUGAGGUUCGAAAGCGUGGGUAGCAAACAGGAUUAGAUACCCUGGUAGUC
rnacentral:rRNA from 1 species